GAUGAACGCUGGCUACAGGCUUAACACAUGCAAGUCGAGGGGAAACGACGGGGAAGCUUGCUUCCCCGGGCGUCGACCGGCGCACGGGUGAGUAACGCGUAUCCAACCUGCCUCUGACUGAGGGAUAACCCGUCGAAAGUCGGCCUAAUACCUCAUGGUAUCGUCUGCGGGCAUCCAACGACGAUUAAAGAUUUCAUCGGUCAGGGAUGGGGAUGCGUCUGAUUAGCUUGUUGGCGGGGUAACGGCCCACCAAGGCUACGAUCAGUAGGGGUUCUGAGAGGGAGGUCCCCCACAUUGGAACUGAGACACGGUCCAAACUCCUACGGGAGGCAGCAGUGAGGAAUAUUGGUCAAUGGGCGAGAGCCUGAACCAGCCAAGUAGCGUGCAGGAAGACGGCCCUAUGGGUUGUAAACUGCUUUUAUGCGGGGAUAAAGUGAGGGACGUGUCCCUCAUUGCAGGUACCGCAUGAAUAAGGACCGGCUAAUUCCGUG
rnacentral:rRNA from 1 species